AUUGAACGCUGGCGGCAGGCUUAACACAUGCAAGUCGAGCGGGGUGAUGGUGCUUGCACUAUCACUUAGCGGCGGACGGGUGAGUAAUGCCUAGGAAUCUGCCUAUUAGUGGGGGACAACAUCUCGAAAGGGAUGCUAAUACCGCAUACGUCCUACGGGAGAAAGCAGUGGAUCACUUGUGACCUUGCGCUAAUAGAUGAGCCUAAGUCGGAUUAGCUAGUUGGUGGGGUAAAGGCCUACCAAGGCGACGAUCUGUAGCGGGUCUGAGAGGAUGAUCCGCCACACUGGGACUGAGACACGGCCCAGACUCCUACGGGAGGCAGCAGUGGGGAAUAUUGGACAAUGGGGGGAACCCUGAUCCAGCCAUGCCGCGUGUGUGAAGAAGGCCUUAUGGUUGUAAAACACUUUAAGCGAGGAGGAGGCUCUUUUGGUUAAUACCCAAGAUGAGUGGACGUUACUCGCAGAAUAAGCACCGGCUAACUCUGUGCCAGCAGCCGCGGUAA
rnacentral:rRNA from 1 species